CAGUCGCCGCGGGAAUACGAGGGGAGCUAGCGUUGUUCGGAAUUACUGGGCGUAAAGCGCGCGUAGGCGGCUUUUUAAGUCAGAGGUGAAAGCCCGGGGCUCAACCCCGGAAUUGCCUUUGAAACUGGAAAGCUAGAAUCUUGGAGAGGUCAGUGGAAUUCCGAGUGUAGAGGUGAAAUUCGUAGAUAUUCGGAAGAACACCAGUGGCGAAGGCGACUGACUGGACAAGUAUUGACGCUGAGGUGCGAAAGCGUGGGGAGCAAACAGGAUUAGAUACCCCUGUAGUCCCUGUCUCUUAUAC
rnacentral:rRNA from 1 species